GGCUUGGGGCUUGGUUCUAUGUCCCUGCGGGUCGGUGCAAGGGCGAAGAGGAACCCGUGGGCCUCAGGGGAUCCCGGGGGGCCGGACCAGUGUUCCCUAGUUGUGGGAGCAGACGCGUGGGCACAUUGCGGGCGGGCAGGGCCUGAAGUGCAGCUAUGUUUCCAGUGUCCUCUGGGUGUUUCCAAGAGCAACAAGAAAUGAAUAAAUCUCUGUUGAAGAGAUACCAUUUGACAUUUUAGAGAUGGCUGCAUGCAAACUCUUGAAACAUUUGACCACCCUCCAGGGUGCCCCGACUCACUUUCCCUGCAGAUGGAGGCAAGGAGGCUCCACAGACAACCCCCCUGCCUGAGGUCACAUAGUGGCCAGCAGGCCAGAACAAAGAAGAGAAUAAGAAAAUAAUCAUCUGGUAACCAUCAUAGUAAUAAUUGUUCAAACACAAGUCAUCCAUGAAAUGCUAAAUCUAGUGGGUUCUGAGGAGUAACCAGAUAUUUACAGAGCCUCAAAGUAUCUCCAUACAAAAUACGGUUGAACUACAAAAAGAAAAUUGUAACAUUAGCAUGGACAAACCUGGCAGGUACUCCUUAACUCUCCUAAGUAAUAAAAACUGUAAAAUGCAA
rnacentral:lncRNA from 1 species